rnacentral:lncRNA from 1 species
UUUACUUCUUAGUUCAUAUUGAGUCUCCUUUUAUGGAGUUUGGAUGGGAAAAAAAAAAAAACACGGAACAGCAGUUAGAAAACUCCAAAAUGAAAAACACGUGCAACAUUCAGAUCCACCAUCAGAGGUAAAGUAAAGAUCUCAAGUUUAAAAUGAUGGUGAAGGGAGAAGAGACCGAGUUUCCUUGAGAUUGAAAGAGAAAGAGAGAAGAAAAUAAAAGGUCCAAGAAAGUAACGGCGUGGAAAGGAAGAGGACAUUUGCUCAGAUUCAGAAGUAUCGCGUGCAAGAGCUUUUACGAUGCCCUGAGAAAUGACCAUCUCAAGUAAGAGGUCGAGAAAGAAUGUCAACCUUGGAAGGAGGGAAAAAUUGGGGGUCUGAGUAUUUGGUGUGAUACGCAUGUGUAUUAAGACAGAAAUUUGCUUAGAAUAAACGCAUGCGUUUUGAAAAAAGGUUGUACCACAAAGUAGACAACGUAUUAAGAGAUUUAAUCAAUUACUUUGAAGAGUGGGUUAGGUGGGGGAGGUUCGAUGGAUGAAAUUAUAUCUAAAGUUAUUGUAAUAUUACUGUUUUAUAACACAGUAGGAGGAAGAUUGUAAUAUUAUGUCUAAAGUUAUAGACAUGUAUUGUAAUACUGUACUCUAAAAUUAAAAACUAAAAUUGAGGGUCGAUCCGUCCACCGUCCGCAGAGAUGCAGUGUACCUGCCAAAUAAAGACAAAUCAACAAUUA